rnacentral:rRNA from 1 species
UACGUAGGGCGCAAGCGUUGUCAGGAAUUAUUGGGCGUAAAGAGCUCGUAGGUGGUUUGUUACGUCUGCUGUGAAAACCUAGGGCUUAACCCUGGGCCUGCAGUGGAUACGGGCAGACUAGAGGUAGGUAGGGGAGAAUGGAAUUCCCGGUGUAGCGGUGAAAUGCGCAGAUAUCAGGAGGAACACCGGUGGCGAAGGCGGGUCUCUGGGCCGAUACUGUCGCUGAGGAGCGAAAGCGUGGGGAGCGAACAGG